CACUACAAGCGACAGCUUUAAACUCAAAGGACUUGACGGUGUCCCACAUACAACCUAGAGGAGCCUGUCCUAUAAUCGAUGACCCACGAAAGACCACACCACCCCUUGCCAAACAAUCUAUAUACCGCCGUCGCAAGCCAACCUCUUGAGAGGGGAAGAGUUAGCAAAACUGCCAAACGCAAAGACGACAGGUCAAGGUGUAGUUUAUGGGGUGGCCAGAGAUGGGCUACACUUCCUUCCAAAGGAAAUACGAAUGGUCAACUGAAAGCCGGCCUAAAGGCGGAUUUAGUAGUAAAAUGGGAUAAGCAAGCCCGUUUGAACACAUUGCCCUGGGACGCGU
rnacentral:rRNA from 1 species